UACGAAGGGGGCUAGCGUUGUUCGGAAUUACUGGGCGUAAAGGGCGCGUAGGCGGCCUUCUAAGUCGAACGUGAAAUCCCCGGGCUCAACCCGGGAACUGCGUCCGAUACUGGAAGGCUUGAAUCCGGGAGAGGGAUGUGGAAUUCCAGGUGUAGCGGUGAAAUGCGUAGAUAUCUGGAGGAACACCGGUGGCGAAGGCGACAUCCUGGACCGGUAUUGACGCUGAGGCGCGAAAGCCAGGGGAGCAAACGGGG
rnacentral:rRNA from 1 species